AGCUUGGACGGGUCCACUCCGCGGGUGACCACCAGGUAGUCGCGCAGCGCGAUGCUGUGCCGGCCCUC
rfam:Mycobacterium diernhoferi strain Bard NODE_3_length_501986_cov_8.15338_ID_412, whole genome shotgun sequence.